GACGAACGCUGGCGGCGUGCCUAAUACAUGCAAGUCGAGCGGAAGUUGGAGAGCUUGCUCUUCAACUUUAGCGGCGGACGGGUGAGUAACACGUGGGCAACCUGCCCUGCAGAUCGGGAUAACUCCGGGAAACCGGUGCUAAUACCGAAUAGUUUUCGCCACCUCCUGGUGGCGUACGGAAAGACGGUUUCGGCUGGCACUGCAGGAUGGGCCGGCGGCGCAUUAGCUAGUUGGUGGGGUAACGGCCCACCAAGGCGACGAUGCGUAGCCGACCUGAGAGGGUGAUCGGCCACACUGGGACUGAGACACGGCCCAGACUCCUACGGGAGGCAGCAGUAGGGAAUCUUCCGCAAUGGACGAAAGUCUGACGGAGCAACGCCGCGUGAGUGACGAAGGUUUUCGGAUCGUAAAACUCUGUUGUGAGGGAAGAACAAGUACCAACUAACUACUGGUACCUUGACGGUACCUCACCAGAAAGCCACGGCUAACUACGUGCCAGCAGCCGCGGUAA
rnacentral:rRNA from 1 species